rnacentral:rRNA from 1 species
UGGGGAAUAUUGGACAAUGGAGGAAACUCUGAUCCAGCAAUUCUGUGUGUGUGAAGAAGGUUUUAGGACUGUAAAACACUUUUAGUAGGGAAGAAAAAAAUGACGGUACCUACAGAAGAAGCAACGGCUAAAUACGUGCCAGCAGCCGCGGUAAUACGUAUGGGGCGAGCUUUGUCCGGAAUUAUUGGGCGUAAAGGGUACGUAGGUGGUUUUUUAAGUCAGGUGUCAAAGCGUGGAGCUUAACUCCAUUAAGCACUUGAAACUGAAAGACUUGAGUGAAGGAGAGGAAAGUGGAAUUCCUAGUGUAGCGGUGAAAUGCGUAGAUAUUAGGAGGAAUACCGGUGGCGAAGGCGACUUUCUGGACUUUUACUGACGCUCAGGUACGAAAGCGUGGGGAGCAAACAGG